CGAUAGUAUGUAUAUAUGGAUGAAUUAAAUUUGCAACCGUUUGUUUAGGGACGUAUCUUCACGGCCUACAGCUUUUUUGGCUAUGCAUGAGUUGGAGGAGAGCUCUUAGCCCGCAGAAAAGUCUUAAAAAACGAGGGGGAAAAAGUCACUUUUCUGGAGUUUAUAUUCUCUGCAGAAGCGUACUUCGUUCCAGUAUUACUUAGCUUAACGUAAGAAGAGGGGGAAAAGUCUUCAAACAUAUAUAACUUUGUUCGAUGUGAAUCAAUUCUAAUUUUGCGAAACGAGUGUCUAAAAUUCAUAUAUCCAUUAAAAAAAUAAUAAUUUGGAAGUGUGACACAACAAUACAUUGUUACGCUAUGGAACAAACAUUAACCCUGGGUGAUGGAAGUCGCGUUAGCUGUGAAAGCAAGAAAUGGAGAUCGAAGAGAUACUACUCGGACGAUAUGGAAGGAAGCGUGAUGGAAAUUUAUCGUAUUUUCUUUCCUAAAUCAAGUACUGGCUGAAAACACUAUAACAAAGUGAACGUCUUCUUGGGAUGGCCCAUUCUUCGCUAGAAAUGCUAUAAGAAGAAGAUGGUGAGGAAAUGAUAGAUUUUCUGCUCGACCUUUUUGAGCUGUCAGCGAAUUUUCAACUUCAAAUUAUUCGAUAGGUACUUCCACCUGGAGGAUAAUACUCGUUCUCCUUGAACGUAUAACACGUAUCUAGAAAAGUUCGCACAAGAAAGGUGAAGAAAUCGACGUCUUUAAUUGUGGUUUUUCUACUCAAAAAUUGGGUUCCUUUUCCUCAAAGAAGAAUGAUGCAUUUAAAUUCUUUCGCACAUAAUAUGUAAUAACAGAUGUAUUUAUAUAAACGCGUUUAUAUAUGA